rnacentral:rRNA from 1 species
UACGUAGGGUGCAAGCGUUAAUCGGAAUUACUGGGCGUAAAGCGUGCGCAGGCGGUUUUGUAAGUCUGACGUGAAAGCCCCGGGCUUAACCUGGGAAUUGCGUUGGAGACUGCAAGGCUUGAAUCUGGCAGAGGGGGAUGGAAUUCCGCGUGUAGCAGUGAAAUGCGUAGAUAUGCGGAGGAACACCGAUGGCGAAGGCAAUCCCCUGGGCCUGCACUGACGCUCAUGCACGAAAGCGUGGGGAGCAAACAGG